UACGGGGGGGCAAGCGUUGUUCGGAAUUACUGGGCGUAAAGGGCUCGUAGGUGGCCAACUAAGUCAGACGUGAAAUCCCUCGGCUUAACCGGGGAACUGCGUCUGAUACUGGAUGGCUUGAGUUCGGGAGAGGGAUGCGGAAUUCCAGGUGUAGCGGUGAAAUGCGUAGAUAUCUGGAGGAACACCGGUGGCGUAGACAGCUUACUGGACCAUUUCUGACGCUGAGACACGAAAGCGUGGGUAGCAAACAGG
rnacentral:rRNA from 1 species